CCUACGGGAGGCUGCAGUGGGGAAUAUUGGACAAUGGGCGAAAGCCUGAUCCAGCCAUGCCGCGUGUGUGAAGAAGGCCUUCGGGUUGUAAAGCACUUUCAGUGAGGAAGAAAGCCUUGGGGCUAAUACCCUCGAGGAAGGACAUCACCCACAGAAGAAGCACCGGCUAACUCCGUGCCAGCAGCCGCGGUAAUACGGAGGGUGCGAGCGUUAAUCGGAAUUACUGGGCGUAAAGCGCGCGUAGGCGGUCUGAUAAGCCGGUUGUGAAAGCCCCGGGCUCAACCUGGGAACGGCAUCCGGAACUGUCAGGCUAGAGUGCAGGAGAGGAAGGUAGAAUUCCCGGUGUAGCGGUGAAAUGCGUAGAGAUCGGGAGGAAUACCAGUGGCGAAGGCGGCCUUCUGGACUGACACUGACGCUGAGGUGCGAAAGCGUGGAUAGCAAACAGGAUUAGAUACCCGGGUAGUC
rnacentral:rRNA from 1 species